rnacentral:rRNA from 1 species
AUUGAACGCUGGCGGCAGGCUUAACACAUGCAAGUCGAACGAGUGGCGGACGGGUGAGUAAUGCUUGGGAAUCUGGCUUAUGGAGGGGGAUAACUACGGGAAACUGUAGCUAAUACCGCGUACCAUCGGAUGAGCCCAAGUGGGCUUAGGUAGUGGGUGAGGUAACGGCGCACCAAGUCGACGAUCUCUAGCUGGUCUGAGAGGAUGACCAGCCACACUGGAACUGAGACACGGCCCAGACUCCUACGGGAGGCAGCAGUGGGGAAUAUUGCGCAAUGGGGGCAAACUGACGCAGCAAGGCCGCGUGAAUGAAGAAGGCCUUCGGGUGGUAAAGUUCUUUCGGUAGCGAGGCGUUAACUACAGAAGAAGCACCGGCUAACUCCGUGCCAGCAGCCGCGGUAAUUC